AUUGAACGCUGGCGGCAUGCCUUACACAUGCAAGUCGAACGGCAGCGGGGACUUCGGUCCGCCGGCGAGUGGCGAACGGGUGAGUAAUGUAUCGGAACGUACCUUUCAGUGGGGAUAACGUAGCGAAAGUUACGCUAAUACCACAUAUUCUCUGAGGAGGAAAGCAGGGGACCUUCGGGCCUUGUGCUGAUGGAGCGGCCGAUAUCAGAUUAGCUAGUUGGUGAGGUAAAGGCUCACCAAGGCGACGAUCUGUAGCGGGUCUGAGAGGAUGACCCGCCACACUGGGACUGAGACACGGCCCAGAAUCCUACGGGAGGAAGCAGUGGGGAAUUUUGGACAAUGGGCGCAAGCCUGAUCCAGCAAUGCCGCGUGGGUGAAGAAGGCCUUCGGGUUGUAAAGCUCUUUCGGACGGGAAGGAAUUGGUGGGGCUAAUAUCCCCAUCGGAUGACGGUACCGUAAUAAGAAGCACCGGCUAACUACGUGCCAGCCGCCGCCGUAAGAC
rnacentral:rRNA from 1 species